rnacentral:piRNA from 1 species
GCACACAGGUUUGUCGCAACCUACGCAAUA